AUUGAACGCUGGCGGCAGGCCUAACACAUGCAAGUCGAGCGGACUGAGAUAGCUUGCUAUCAAGGUUAGCGGCGGACGGGUGAGUAACGCGUAGGAAUCUACCUGGUAAUGGGGGAUAACGUUCCGAAAGGAACGCUAAUACCGCAUACGCCCUAAGGGGGAAAGUGGGGGAUCUUCGGACCUCACGUUAUCAGAUGAGCCUGCGUAGGAUUAGCUAGUUGGUAGGGUAAAGGCCUACCAAGGCGACGAUCCUUAACUGGUCUGAGAGGAUGAUCAGUCACACUGGAACUGAGACACGGUCCAGACUCCUACGGGAGGCAGCAGUGGGGAAUAUUGGACAAUGGGGGCAACCCUGAUCCAGCCAUGCCGCGUGUGUGAAGAAGGCCUUCGGGUUGUAAAGCACUUUCGGUCAGAAAGAAGGGUGUUGAAUUAAUACUUCAGCAUUUUGACGGUACUGACAUAAGAAGCACCGGCUAACUCCGUGCCAGCCGCCGCCGUAA
rnacentral:rRNA from 1 species